rnacentral:rRNA from 1 species
CACANGACUCUCGGCAACGGAUAUCUCGGCUCUCGCAUCGAUGAAGAACGUAGCGAAAUGCGAUACCUGGUGUGAAUUGCAGAAUCCCGCGAACCAUCGAGUCUUUGAACGCAAGUUGCGCCCGAGGCCAUUCGGCCGAGGGCACGCCUGCCUGGGCGUCACG